rnacentral:rRNA from 1 species
ACACACCGCCCGACACACCAUGGAAGUCUGCAAUGCCCGAAGCCGGUGGCCUAACCACUUAUGUGGAAGGAGCCGUCUAAGGCAGGGCAGAUGACUGGGGUGAAGUCGUAACAAGGUACC